GCACAGCUGACGAGUUUCACAGUAGGACGAAACGGCCGUCCAGUGC
rnacentral:hammerhead_ribozyme from 1 species